rnacentral:rRNA from 3 species
GCAUAAUAAUUUGCCCAUUAAUUGUGGGAUAGAAUGAAUGGGAUAACGAAAUAUAAUCUAUAUCAAGUAGUAUAUAAUUAAAUUAAUUUUUAAGUGAAAAAGCUUAAAUAAAAUUAAAAGACAAGAAGACCCUAUAGAGCUUUAAUUAAUAAAUUUAAUAAUUUUUAAUAAUUUCGGUUGGGGCGACCUGGGAUUUCAUCAUCCCAAAUCUAGUAAGAGCUAUGACUCAAAUAAUGAUCCUACAAUUAGAUAAUAAAUCAAGCUACCUUAGGGAUAACAGGCUAAUCUUAUUUCAGAGUCCAUAUCUACAAUAAGGC